rnacentral:rRNA from 1 species
AAUUUCAAUAGCGGAGGAAAAGAAACCAACAGGGAUUACCUCAGUAACGGCGAGUGAAGCGGUAACAGCUCAAAUUUGAAAGCUAGCUCUUUUAGGGUUCGCAUUGUAAUUUGUAGAAGAUGCUUCGGGUGUGGCCCCGGUCUAAGUUCCUUGGAACAGGACGUCAUAGAGGGUGAGAAUCCCGUAUGUGACUGGGUGCUUUCGCUCAUGUGAAGCUCUUUCGACGAGUCGAGUUGUUUGGGAAUGCAGCUCAAAAUGGGUGGUAAAUUUCAUCUAAAGCUAAAUAUUGGCCAGAGACCGAUAGCGCACAAGUAGAGUGAUCGAAAGAUGAAAAGCACUUUGGAAAGAGAGUUAAACAGUACGUGAAAUUGUUGAAAGGGAAGCGCUUGCAACCAGACUUGCGCGCUGAUGAUCAUCCGGGCUUCUGUCCGGUGCACUCGUCUGCGCUCAGGCCAGCAUCGGUUUCGGUGGUGGGAUAAAGGCCUUGGGAAUGUAGCUUCUUUCGGGGAGUGUUAUAGCCCUCGGUGCAAUGCCGCCUACCGGGACCGAGGACCGCGCUCGGCUAGGAGCAUGCGACCUCCACCGUAAGGC